rnacentral:rRNA from 1 species
UACAGAGGUCCCGAGCGUUUGUUCGGAUUCACUGGGCGUAAAGGGUGCGUAGGUGGCGAGGUAAGUCGGAUGUGAAAUCUCCAAGCUUAAACUUGGAAAUGGCAUUGGAAACUACCUGGCUGAGAGGUUUGGAGGGGGGACUGGAAUGCUUGGUGUAAGCAGUGAAAUGCGUAGAUAUCAAGCGGAACACCAGUGGCGAAGGCGAGUCCCUGGACAACACCUGACACUGAGGCACGAAAGCUAGGGGAGCAAACAGGAUUAGAACC